AAUCCUGCCGCAAGAGGGCCAGACUUAAUGAGCAGAAAGCCCCCAGCCACUUAAUGCCAAGUGUUUAAUAACCAGAGAUCGUUUUCACUUCGUUUUACAGGACUGUGCAGGAGAGAAAAACCCUUUCGCCCCUGCUUCUCUGCUAUUCCUGGAACUGUCCUCCUGACAACAGAUUUCUGGGUUUAAAUCAUGCCCCAAGGGAGUGGCUAUGAAGCUGCCGUUAUGUGCUUUUCUGCCGGCACUGGGCAUCUGCGAAAAGACAGUUUUGCUGUUUCACUUCUUGUAGGAGCAAAGAUGAUUGCCAAGUAAUUUGGUUUAUAUUCUCCUGCUUUCUGGGACUAUAAGGAUCGGUUCUUCCAUCAGUGUGGUUAAUUGCAGUUUUCAAAAGAAAAGAGAUGGUGGGACAUGCCUUCCUGACAAGCUAUUUUUCCCCCAGUUUCAGUUUUAAGUGGUCCAGUCCUUUCUGGUUUCGAUUUGUAGAAGACGUCUACUUACGGUCUGUAUUGUGUGUGCUGUGAGAACUCCAAGCAAGGCUCACGAGAGAGGGAGCCUGCGAAUUCAAAGCACCACAUCCUGGGACCCCCACAGUUAAGGACGAUCUGACUGCUACCCUGAGCUGUCACGGAAGAGCAGAGGUGAUUGGAGUUACAACUUGGUUAAGCCAGUGCUGACAGUCUACUGACAUCUCCCAUAAUCCCAGCGGUGUUUGCAGAGAACAAACUGCUGUAUUCAAUGAGAGGAACCUGGAAACUUCCAGCACCUUCCAGCACGACGUCACCACUUCCACACCUUUGAGGAGUCCACAGACAUUCCUCUUGAGGGGAUCUCUGAGGUUGCUUUCAGGAAGGAGGAAGUCUUUCCCCCAGAGUGAGCAGCCUCUCCGGUGGUGUGAGAAACUUCUGGAAGAAACAAGCACCUUCCUCCCACCUGGCUCCUGGUUCGGCUUGAUGACUAAUGGAUGCAAACAGACGUGAGGAGGGCAACUUCUGACAAGCCAUGUGCCCUGAAUUGCUCCUGUUUCGUCUUUCCUGUAAGUAGACCUACUUCCAACCAUGUGAACAGGGAAAUGCUACAGCGGGCACCAAAGACAAACAUAGAAGACAACCAUUCGUAGUCCCGG